UAACAAUUUGGGUAUCACAAAUAUAAAAUUAGAAUGAUACAGAAAAGAUUAGCAUGGUCCCUGUGCAAGGUGGGUCUAAUUUUUUAUUUCAUUGUUCCACUUGUG